rnacentral:rRNA from 1 species
UACGUAGGGUGCGAGCGUUAAUCGGAAUUACUGGGCGUAAAGCGUGCGCAGGCGGUCCGCAAAGUCUGAUGUGAAAGCCCCGGGCUCAACCUGGGAACUGCAUUGGAAACUAACGGGCUCGAGUGUGGCAGAGGGGGGUGGAAUUCCACGUGUAGCAGUGAAAUGCGUAGAGAUGUGGAGGAACACCGAUGGCGAAGGCGGCAUCCUGGACCGGCAUUGACGCUGAGGCGCGAAAGCCAGGGGAGCAAACGGG